rnacentral:rRNA from 1 species
GAGUUUGAUCCUGGCUCAGGACGAACGCUGGCGGCGUGCCUAACACAUGCAAGUCGAACGAAGUAUGUUUUUCGGAAUGUACUUAGUGGCGGACGGGUGAGUAACGCGUGAAUAAUCUGCCCCAUACAGGGGGAUAGCCUCGGGAAACCGGGAUUAAAACCGCAUGAUGCUUUUUUAUCGCAUGGUAGAGAAGUCAAAUCGAAUAAGAGGUAUGGGAUGAGUUCGCGUCUGAUUAGCUGGUUGGCGGGGUAAGAGCCCACCAAGGCGACGAUCAGUAGCCGGCCUGAGAGGGUGACCGGCCACACUGGAACUGAGACACGGUCCAGACUCCUACGGGAGGCAGCAGUGGGGAAUAUUGCACAAUGGAGGGAACUCUGAUGCAGCGACGCCGCGUGAGUGAAGAAGGUCUUCGGAUCGUAAAACUCUGUCCUUGGUGACGAAAAAAAUGACGGUAGCCAAGGAGGAAGCCCCGGCUAACUACGUGCCAGCAGCCGCGGUAAUACGUAGGGGGCGAGCGUUAUCCGGAUUUAUUGGGCGUAAAGCGUGUGUAGGCGGUUUAUUAAGUCUAAGAUGAAAGACUAAGGCUUAACCUUGGUUUGUUUUAGAUACUGGUAGGCUAGAGUAUGGUAGAGGCAAAUGGAAUUCCUAGUGUAGCGGUGAAAUGCGUAGAUAUUAGGAGGAAACAUCAGUGGCGAAGGCGAUUUUGCUGGGCCAUCACUGACGCUGAGACACGAAAGCGUGGGGA